rnacentral:siRNA from 1 species
UGAUGCUUCAAUGCAUGUGGCUG